rnacentral:rRNA from 1 species
GAUGAACGCUGGCGGCGUGCCUAAUACAUGCAAGUCGAGCGAACAGAUAAGGAGCUUGCUCCUUUGACGUUAGCGGCGGACGGGUGAGUAACACGUGGGUAACCUACCUAUAAGACUGGGAUAACUUCGGGAAACCGGAGCUAAUACCGGAUAAGAUUUCGAACCGCAUGGUUCGAUAGUGAAAGAUGGUUUUGCUAUCACUUAUAGAUGGACCCGCGCCGUAUUAGCUAGUUGGUAAGGUAACGGCUUACCAAGGCGACGAUACGUAGCCGACCUGAGAGGGUGAUCGGCCACCCUGGAACUGAGACACGGUCCAGACUCCUACGGGAGGCAGCAGUAGGGAAUCUUCCGCAAUGGGCGAAAGCCUGACGGAGCAACGCCGCGUGAGUGAUGAAGGUCUUCGGAUCGUAAAACUCUGUUAUUAGGGAAGAACAUACGUGUAAGUAACUGUGCACGUCUUGACGGUACCUAAUCAGAAAGCCACGGCUAACUACGUG